AACAAGCCCAAAGACCCUGCCCCAUGCUCUCCACGCUGGGCUCCGUUCCCCCGCUGGCACACUGAAGAAGGAGCAUAGCAUUGGAGCAAGGUCCAACACUGAAAGCACCUGCUUGGCAAGAUCCUCAAAACUUCCUCCUGAGAGAGAGAGAUCAACAUUAUAAUCCUCACUUCAUAAAGGAUGGACUCGACGUACAAGAAACUCCUCAGCUGCUUAAAGCCAGGGUCAAUGACGGCGCUAUAGUUGGUACUCAGAACCUAAUGCUCUUUGCUGAGGCCCAUGCCCUCUACACCGCAUAUGCCACGGGGAAUGCUGGAUGAAGCUAGGGCUCCAACAGAAACCUCAUAGGCCUGGCACUCUGAAGGCAUCCACCAGUACAUUGGGUAAUAGCCUAAGGAAGAUACUCUCCAAGAGUCAGUCAACAUGUACAGCCAGCACUUGUGGAGACCCCAGCAUCAAACAUGCAAAGUGCCAUGGGACCCGAAAGCAAUGAAUUUCAGAUUCUCAAGUUCAAGACAACUUUCCAAGUUUCUGCUCUGGGGAAGCCUACUCAGAAAUACCUGACCCAUGUUGUAUUCCCGUUUGGUAUUUAAUAGCAAAAGACAUUCAAAAAGGUCUCUAGAGCUGUGUGAAGAACACAGACGAAUGUACGGCUUCUUGGAAUCGGCUAGAGCCUCUCGAAUCAACAGCAAAGACCUGCUACAAACCAAGGCUCUGGUGCCCACCUGCAAGAACACGCUGAGCUCUCCUAUCCUCUAUCCUAAAAGCACACCUUGGUGAAAAUACACGUCUCUUUCCUUAGCCAGAAUGCAUGACAUGCCCACCUCCCGUGGGCUCCGGAACACCAUCGGACACACUGCCACAAGGGUGAGUGAGUCGGAGGGACUUACAGUUGAAGAUGCCUGGCGGUGGAUGCUCAGUCACCAGGAGGCAGUUCUCUUCGUCGCUGUUGUCCCCACAGUCGUUCUGUUGGUUACAGACCAGAGAACCAAGAUACAAGCAUUUACCGCUGGUGCAGGUGAAUUUGCACUCUGGAAAAGCACAAGACAUGAGGCGGUCAGUGCUCGCUCCUGCCACUGCCCCGUCCCCCUCCACACACACACACACACCUCCCAGGGGCAUGUCAUGAUGAUUUGAGAACUGAGAUUAUCUGGAGGUCCCAGGAAACUGAUCUCAGAAGGGCCAUCUAGACGAGGCCGGUCUUGCUUCGCCAUGUGGCACUCUGAGGCCUGCCCGGGGCACAGCACUACCCACAAAUGAGUACACAGUUGCUCUCUUCCUUCCAUUGCUUGCCCUCCCUAUGAGAGUCAUUCUGCUUCAAACCAACCUUGACAGCUUCCCACACCCUGACAGGGUAUAUAUGAUAAAAUCUAUAUUUUAUAAUGCAGGACAAGACAUGGUAUUCUACUUCCUAUGAAGCGUGUGUGUAGAAGGCCACACUGACAGAUUAUAAAAUAAUAUAGAGCCCACCCCCACAUCCCUGUGGGUUGUACUGAACACAGGAUAUCUGAGCUGUGCAAAUCUAUAUUUGGAAAAUGAAAUUUACUGAAACGGGACUUUAAAAUAAAACUCCCAACUUAAACAAUUGUAAGCAAUUAAAGGGGAUUUUUAAUUCAAAGAGAUUUAAGCAGCUAAAAGAGAGAUUAUACAACAAAACACAAUCCGUUGUAUAAACACUGAUGGAUAGCACCUUGGACUUUAGGUACACAUAGAAAUUAAGAGGCAUCACAUCACACAGGGUACAUGGCCAAUAGAAGAGCUUCAAGAAGUGUCAUGGGUUCCAGCAAUGGCAACUCUCACAGCUAUCUCAGCUGCCAAGGCCUCUUCCUGUCUCAAAUGAGAGCGGUAGACCUGGGUCAAGUGUCAAGCCAUUUCAACUCCAACUUUCCAUUAAAAUAAAAUUCCAAAUAAAAGGC